AAUUAGGAAUUUAGUUUAAAACCCUACAAUAUAUCUCCGCCUCACGCUGAGGCAGGAGACUUCACUGUGGGUUUUCCUCAAGGGCGUCGACGUUUCCCCCAAAGCUACUUGCCAACUCGUGCUUGUGCUUGGACUUCAAGCAACGCCUUUCGUUCUGCGAUAAGCAAUUUCUGUUGUUGGUUAUAUGAAUACGGUUCAUGGGUUUUGCUAUUACUCACAAUUGAUGAUCCCUUUUCCUCCUACAUUUUGGUGGUAUCGGCUUCAGGGAAAUUCGCCAAGGUUCGUUUAUACCUCGAAAUAUUAGUAUCCCUUUCACUAUGGAGUUUCAAUUUUAACUUAUUGUGUUUAUAAUCUUCUGAUUAUUGACCUGAUUUUGGUUCUUCAUCUUGAGUGCUUUUUAAAUAUGCAAAUGAUAGUUUCUAUUUUAUAGUGGUUUUGAAUUUUUGUACUUUCAGUUUCGGCACUCCAACUGUUUGAUAUAAUGUCUAGGUGAAGUUUUUAACUUUUUUAUGAAAAUUUAAUAGUUUUAGCUAUGCUAGGUUAUGAUUUGAGUUUGAUAGUCUGUGUGAUAAACACACUUAGUAAUCUGUGUAUUUCCUGUGUGAAUCUCAACAAUAUGAGAAUUGAUAACUGGAUUGUCCAUCAAGAGUUUUAUGGAGAAGAGUUCAUGAGUGGUGAUGUCAAGAUUUUUUGCCCACAACUGGUAUUUCUUUAACUCUGGGGUAAUAAAGUUGUACAUUUUUUAAAGUAAAUCAAUAACUUUCUCUUAUAAAAUUUCCCUUCAUUUAACAUCUGUUGAUGACAGUUGCUCUUGAGGACUUGACUGAUCUUAACUCAUAAGGUUAAUAUUGUCCCCUAUUCCUAUUAAUCCUGUACCAAUUAGGAAUUCAUAAUCCAUUGUUAGUAGUAUUUUCUGAAGGUCCUUUUUUGACAAUCCCAUGGAACGAUGGAAGAAUCUUGAAUUACUCGAUGAUGUUCAUGUUGUUGAGAAAACAAAGUGUUGACCGGAAUAAGACAUAUCCUUAUCUAGGCGUGGAUUUGGUUUUUUUGUCUUUUUUUUUUGCGAUUUUUAAACAAUUUUCAUAAGUCUUCAUCAAUUCAGUUGGAAUUGAGAUCUUUAUCUGUGUUUCUUUCAAAUGGUCUGAUUGAUGCAGCAAAGGGACUGAUUCAAAUGGUCUGAUUCAUAUUUCAAUUUAUGUUUCUUUUCAUGAUUUAACACUUCAUUUAUGUGGACAAUACAAAUUCUUGACAAUGUUGAAUUCUGAAAAGGUAUCAAGUAUGUUUAUGUAGAUGAUUCAAUGGAUGAUAUUGGUGAGAUUCCAAUUCUAUUGGAAUGGAAUCACAUAUUCCAAUUCUGUUGGAAUCACAUAAGUUGAUGCUUGAAGAACGGACCACAAAAUUGAAACGGACCACAUUAUUCUUUUAGAAUGUAUUAGUCGUUGAUAGAUUUUGAUGUUUUCUUUCCCGUUUUGAAAGUUUUUUUAGUUUUAUUCUUUAACAAUAAAUGUAAUUCUUAACAAUUGUUACCUGUAUUUUAUAAGAAAUAAUGUAUUUUUUAUUUUUAUUCUUCAAUUGAGUGUUCAAGAAUUUGUUAUUCUACAAGAAGUUCUUCAAGUCAUGAUAAAAAAUAUGUUCCAGAAUAUUUUUAUUAUUUAUUGUUCGAGAAUAUUUUUAUUUUUUAGUAAAUAAUUAAAUAAAUCAACAUAUUCUGUCAGAAUGUCCGAAUUAAAAUAGUUAUAAUUCGUAAAAUCAGAUUUUUAAAAUUAAUAGAAUCUAUGAUCCCUUAAAAUAUGCAAUUUUCAUAUAUUAAAUCUGUAUUAAUUGACUAAAAUACCCUAGUAAUUAAAUUAGAUGAUAUUUUUCAAUUACAUUUAAUUCAAUAAUAUAUAUUAAUCACUUUUUUAAAAUAAGUAAAAUUGAUUGGCCCACAGUUAUGCAUACAAUAACACAAUAAUUACUNAUAUAUAUAUAUCCCCUAAUAUAAUAAAUAAGAGUAAUUUUGCCACGUGGCUUUCAAUUAGCCUAUCCGAAUCAAUUUAUCCCGUACAAAAUACCAAAGUGAAUUCUCUCCCUCCCCCCAAUACCCUUCUCCUUCAGCUUUAAUAGUUAUGCAUUUACGUUUGAAGUUUGGAUUGAUAUAGCAAAUUAUCGACGUUCCAAUUUGAUAGCAAGAAAUCUGGAAUUCCAUAGCAAGAAAUCAGUCAUAUCCAAACUUAAUCACUGAUUCUUGGAGGUAGAUUCUCUCUUAAACCCUAAUGCCCUUCCCUCUCCAUCAAUGGUUCGUUGCAUGAAAUGACUUCGAAACUCUACAUCCAGGUAAUUAGCCUUUGAUUUCGGAUUUGAACUAAGCUACAAUCGAUUUGGUGUAAUUUCUUUUAUGUAAUUGGUUUUGGAGUUGCGACAUGACAUGUCAUCCGUCCCCUUCAGCUGUUUUUCCCGCCUAAUUUCCCAAAGUGAAGUUCUGAAACUCUCUUACUUUUGUCUAGCUACUUUGAACUAAUCAAAGCAAAACCCCCACCGUCCUUUCACUUUCUUCAACCUGCUUAAAAUCGAAAAGCCAAUUUCGUCCUCCAUUGUAGUGGAAGGGUUUUUUCCAUGGUGAUUUUUUAGGUCAAACAUUUCUAUAUUAGGUAAGAAAAGGUAAUUCAUUUCACUUUGUUGAUCAUCGUCCCAUCAUCUUUUUACCGGUCUUUCAAUGCCAUCUUAUCAUCGUUGGUAAUAAAAUAUAAACCUUAUUUACUACUUUAUGUUUCAAUCUAUAUAACAAUCUCCAUCAAUUAGGACCCACACCCUCGCUAAGGCGCUAACAGAGCAGAGUGUUUGUAAAAGCUUGUUUUGUAAUUUUUUAAAAGCCCUGGACCGUGUAUGAUGAUUCUAAAAGACAUGGGAUCAGAUGGAUAUAUUGUUGUUGGGUUCAUGAAUUUUUCUUUUGAAUUAAAUGCUUUUGUUUGUGUAAAUAUGAUAUUUUCUAUAUGAAAUUGUUCCUUAAUUGGUAUCAGUUAUAAACAUAUAAAGUUAAAUCUAUUUAGUUUGUUUGGUUUCUUGCACAUAAGGUGUUUGAUGUAUUGUCUCACUAAGAUAUUUGUUCGGUUUUUAUUGUUGUAAAUUUAUAUAAGGUCUACUCUCUAGAUUUAAUUGAUUUUCUUGACCGUAGGCAUUCAACAAAUAGAAAAAUGUUUUGAAUUUUUAAUUUGGAUCUUUUAUUAAUCUGCAACUUUAACACUUAUAUGGAAAUGCGUUGUUAUUCUUUGUGCUAAAUGCAAGAAAUAACAAUAUACUUCUAUUUAUAUGUUUUAUUUAUACCGUCUCACUUUAAUUCCUUCCUAAUUAGCAUGGUAUUUUGAAAAAUCUUGAAAUAGAAUGAUCCUUUCAUUAAUUUUUUUAUGGUAAGUUGAUAUCAUCCUUUUUAGUGGAAGGAAUUUGCUGUAAUAAAAAAAAUAGUGUUGUUAAAGUUGAUGGAGGGAGUGAUGAAGCUACAAUGUAUACGGUAGAUGAUAGAGCUAAAAAGGGUACAUUUUUUUUGCUUAUGUCAACUAAAAAGCAGUAUUUUUCCAUGUUUUCUUGAUAAACAAUGUAAAUAUACUUUUAGAAAUGAAAGGAAAAAGUAAAUGACCACACAUCUGUAAAAGUUUAGGACUUAGGUUUUCCAUGAUUUUCUUUAUUAAUUACUUCUUUAAGUCAGAAAGAGCAACUUAAAUGGCAAACAAAACCAAAUUUUUUAUGAAGAAAAGUGUGUGCCAAAAUUAUGGUCAAAUGCAAUGAAAAACAAUGAAAUAAUGGUUAAGGAUGUACUAAUUUUGUUAAUUAGGUGCAUUUUGUUACAUUUAUUGUAAGAAAAAGCAGUGUUUAAUUUUACAACUUAUUUUUUACAUCGUAUUUCAAAGAGGUGAAAAAACUCAUAUAUUUGAAAGAUAUUAAGUGGUGUCACAUAGAUGAUCCCCAAGGGUUAUAAGCUUGUGUUUAGGCCUUUAAAUGGAUGCAUUUCCAAAGUUUUCUCCAUAUUAUGACAUUUUUAUGAUGUCAAGGACAUGGUUUCACAACUGUAACUGAAACUAUAUAACACUACAAAAUUUAAUAUAAUUUGUUUCUUGAAAAUGACAUAUGAAUUUCCAAUAUCGAUUUAUAAACUGCAUUCUUUUUUAUGUUAUAUUUUUAUGGUAUUUUUACUAAGUUGAUAAUAAAUGGGUAACAUAAUCCAUUCCAAAUUUACAUUAUGUCUUUAAGGGUGGUUGUAGCAUGGAAAGAAGCAAAUGUGGAAGCUAGAACUAUAAUUGCUAUAUUUAGGUGGGGGGAAUUGCACUAGCAGUUUAAUUAUGCUCAAUUUAUUUCAAGAGUAUUAUGUUAAACUUUUAGGCCUUACACAUAAAGUGUUCAAUAAAUAUUUUAGUUUGACAUAAGUAAAAAGCACAUGCAUAUCAUUGUAAGUACAUGUUAUAUAUGAAGCUUUAUUUUCUAUAACCUCACUUUAAUGAAAAUGAAAGGAGUUAGCCAUGUAAUUUUCUUUUAUUUUCUUUCUUUUUUGGGUGUGUGGAUAUGAAUGAUAGCAAAAAAUUGCAGCAUACUUUACCCCUUCAACCAACAUAGGCAAUAUACUUUAUUUUCUACAUAUAAAGGCAAUGUACUUAUAUCACUUUACUUAUAAUAGCAACAUGUUUUUAUUACUUUACACAUGUUGGAAAUGUAUUUGCAAUUCUUACCCAUAUUAAUUACAUAAAUUUUGUUCUUACUUAUUUUUUGAUAACUAAAGACAUCUUGAAUACAAUAUUAUAGUGAAUUUGGGAUAGAAAAUUAUUUUAUUAGCAACAAAUAUAUUUUAAUCUACUUGAUGAAGAAAAUUUGAUGGAUACAUAUGCAUAUUCAUAAAUAGACAAAAUUAAUUAGCAAUAGAACAUGUUUAUAUUGGUAAAUAUACGUACUAACCAAAGGUAAUCACAUGAUGAUAUAUACAAGUGAAAACACAUAUUUGACUAAAUAAGUUUUACCUAUCAUAUUUAUGUUUAGUAAUAAAAUCAACAAUUGAUUUUUGUUUGGUGUUAUUUUUAAAAACUAAAUAGUGCAAAAAACCAAAAUCUACAUAACAAGCACCAUAAGCUUAUAACAAGGUAUAUAUUAAUUUUAAGUUUUAACUAACCAUUAUAAAUUUAUAGACAAAACUUCCAGCUUUGUAAUUUAAUAAUUUUUUUAUUUUUUAUUAUCAAUAGUGUUUUUCUUUUUUAUCCGUUGUUUCCACGAGUUUUAACCUAGUGUGUGUGUGUGUGUGUGUAUAUAUAUAUAUAUAUAUAUAUACACACACACACACACACUAGUAGNNNNNNNNNNNNNNNNNNNNNGUUUAAAAUUCAACCCUAUACUAAUAUAAUAUUACAAGAUUAAUAUAUAUAUAUAUAUAUAUAUAUAUAUAUAUAUAUUAAAAAUGUCUCAAAUUAGGAGAACAAUACUUGACUUGACCAUAGGUUAGUUAAUAUACGUGGGUUAAUUUAAUCAAUCCCACAUUCCCACCGAUCCACGAUAUAUACUUUCGUCUGCAUUCCACCACCUCUUUCUACCUUCCAGUACCUUCGACAUCUAGCUUCCAUUUUCCUCUCCCAGACUAAGUCGUCGUUUCCAGUUGUGUUCAGUGAAUCCAAGUACCGAUGUUCCAUUUUCCAGGCUGAUUUGUAACACCUGUUUAUUUAUUAGUUAAAUAAAUAAAUUAGUGAACGAAUGGUAGCUUAAAAUAAAUAAAUAAACGUAUAGAAGCCCUAAAAUCAAGAAUAAAUGAGCAAGGCGUUAGUUCGAGGAGUUAAAAGUUAUAAUUAUAGAAGUUGGGGGAUGAAUUGUAAUUCCCGGAUUAGUUUGUAAAGAAUGUUGGAAGUUGAGAGUGAUUUGGUAAUUCUGGGUUUAAUUUGAAAUAAAAUCAUGAAGGAAGGGGUUAAAGUGUAAGUAUUGGAUUCAAUUUAAGAAUAAAUUAUGGAGGAGGGGCUGUUUAGUAAUUUUGGGAUUUAUUUUAUAAGGAAUUAUGGAAGGGAGGGCUAAAGGGUAACUUUUGGAUUUAAAUUGAAAAAGAUAUGGUAAGGAGGGACUAGAGGUGACAAUUUGUAGAAAGUUUGGAUGGGAUACGGGACUUUAAACCCCGUGCGUUCUUUCCCUCCCAUGUUUGGAUGAACAAACCCUAACCCUAUCUAGAGUUCUCUACAGCCACCACCAUGUUGGGAGCCUCCUCAGCCGCCUGCAUCAAGAACCAAUCACCCCACCUUUGUGUUUCCGAUCGAGUAAGACCGCCAGACGCCGCCAUUUCUCUCGUUGCCGACGACCAAGCCGUCACAACACUGUCACAAUUCCAUCGUGGGGGUGAUGAAGACCACCAACGGGAGUCCGUCCCGUUGUCGAUGCUGCUGUCAUUCGCGACCACCACACCUCCUUUUCAUCUUCUGCUGAUGUGUCACAUCGUGAAGACGAAAUCGUUGCUGCCGCUGUGGUCAAUCCCGAUGAGAGGAUGAAGCUGCCGCUCAUGUCGCUCACGGUUCCUCAACCCAUCACGUUCCUUCACCUGUGAUUCGUUCCCAAGCUAUAGCCGCCGUCGACCGCCUCCUUUGUUGCUGCUUGUCUAGGAACCAACAGAUCCGCCGCUACCACCACCUCACGGUGGUGGCUGCCAUCUCAGAUUCGCUAUUGCCACCGUCGGGAGCCACCAGGUGGUUGGCUGGUGGGUGAGCUACUCUUCAAAAUGUGUGUUAUGUGUGUUUGUCAAGUUGGAAAGCCGAGAACCGCCGCUGCCACCACAUGCCGCCGCCGGCCACCAGAUUAUUGUGUAUAGGUGUUUGUAUUAGUGUGUGUGUGCGUAAUUUUGGGGUUUUAGUGAUGUAAAUGUAACAAAAAUGGAAUAAAGAAAGUCAUAACCAUCACCGUGAGGUGGUGGCUGCCGCCUCCUGCCGCCACNACCGUGUUAGGUGGCAGUGUGCUUGUCUUGUGAGUUGACUCGAUUGGGGAUGCUUGAAACCCUAAUGGGCCCAAAGAAGCUCAAAUGGGCCCAACGAAGCUUAAUGUACUCUAAUGGACCCUAAUAAAACCCUAAUGGGCUUAAUGAUAUUAUAGUUGGCCUAAUAGACCCAAUAAAGCCCUAAUUGACCUAAAGGCCCAACAAAUUAUUAAAUGGGCUAGUAUUUGGGUUGGAAACCCUAAUUAGGGUUUGGAAAACCCUAAUGCCAUCAAAACCCUAAUUUUGGGGAAUUAAUCGAGACACACAGGAAUUAUUUAAUAACUUGAGAUAUUAAAUAAUAAACAUUGGCGGAAAUUAAUCUAAGCAAUAUUGGACUUAAUGGAUUAAAUCCUUAAUGGAUUAAGUCCUUAAUGGGUUAAGUAGGAAACUUAACCCUAAUCAUCAUUUUAUGUGAAACCCUAAUUUCACUUGGGUUUAUUGUUUGGCCUUUCUAUUGGGCCUUGAUGAUUGGGUUAUUAAAUGGGCUAUCCAAGAUCAAGCAAAUAGUCUAGAGUAAAUUAAUGGGCCUAGGGUAAGGCCCAUGUAAGGGGCUUGGGCCCAAUUUGGAAAAUUGGGCCAUAGUUUGGGCCUUAUUGAUUAUAUGAUGUUGGGCCUUAGAAUGAGACCAUGUAUAGGCCUAGGCCCAAUUUGGAAAAUUGGGCCAUGUGUUGGGCUUUGAUUCCUAGUUGAGUUUGGGCCUAUGGAUUGGGCCUUGGGCUUGAAUAAGCCAAGCUAGGGGUAAUGUAGUAAUUACCCAAAGAAUGUACUUAUGGUUAUGUAUUGGGACCCAAUUAUUAAUUGGGUGUUAUUUUGGUGUUGACAGUUCGGGAAUCUGUCAGCCAGCAUCUGGGGUCGAGUCUGCGGGACUUCAGCAAGUGUGGAAUUGUGUCUUCGGGACUUCAGCAGUGUGAGGUGAGUUACCUUCCAGUAGCGGUGGGUCUACGACCAUAAUGCCGACCCACCAGUAGGAGUUUUAUGUUAGAUGAUUGUCUUUGUGAUAUCAUAUAGGUUUGCUACCACCUGAUAUGUUAUAUGCUGACAUGAUAUGUUAUAUGUGAUAGUAGUAGAGUUCAGUUGUUAGGACCGAAGGGUAGGUCAGACACCCCAGAUAUGUCUGACGGUAUGUGAUGAUAUGUUUAUAUGUUGUCAUGAUAUGUUAUAUGUGAUAGUGGUAGUAGGAGGGGAAUAGUCCCCAAGUUCGGUUGUUAGGACCGAAGGGUAGUUCGGACACCCCAGGUAUGUCUGAUAGUAUGUUUGUGUUAUGAUAUAUGUGAUAGUAGAUGAGUGUGGGCGAUGCCCGUAUCUCAGAGAUAGUGGAGUGUGGGCGAGGCCCGUAUCUCCCAGCUAGCGGAGUGUGGGCGAGGCCCGUAUCCCCAUGAGUGUGGGCGAGGCCCGUAUCUCCUAGCUGUUCAUUAUAUGAUUGUAUGGAAUUUGGUAUAAUGGGGGAACUCACUAAGUUUUGUGCUUACGGUUUUCAGUUUUGGUUUCAGGUACUUCGUUUUCAAAGGAAAGGAGCCGGCUCGAUCGCAGCGCAUCACACUAUGUUUUCCGCACAUGAGAUCCUUGGGGAUUACGCUCUGAUAUGGUUUUAUGAUACUAUGUUUUGGAUUACUAACACUUGGGUUUUGACAUGAGACGUUA
rnacentral:lncRNA from 1 species